UACAGAGGUCUCAAGCGUUGCUCGGAUUCAUUGGGCGUAAAGGGUGCGUAGGCGGCGCGGUAAGUCGGGUGUGAAAUCUCGGAGCUUAACUCCGAAACUGCAUUCGAUACUGCCGUGCUUGAGGACUGGAGAGGAGACUGGAAUUUACGGUGUAGCAGUGAAAUGCGUAGAUAUCGUAAGGAAGACCAGUGGCGAAGGCGGGUCUCUGGACAGUUCCUGACGCUGAGGCACGAAGGUCAGGGGAGCAAACGGG
rnacentral:rRNA from 1 species